rnacentral:lncRNA from 1 species
UGUUUUUUUGGAGGAAAUCCAGGUUCGGCCGCCGAACAUAGUGCUAUCGCAGGAGCUCUCUUUUCAGCCCCCGAAGGUGGUCUGGCCAGCCACCUAUAAGAGGCCUCCAGUCCGAAAAUGGGAGAGUUUUCUCUCUCCAUUUUCGGGCAAAGGUGAGUUCUUGCCCUCCUUUUGAUGAUUUUAUGUUCUUCCUUCAAAUCCUUCAGAUUUUCAUGAGUUUUCUCUUGUUUUUGAAGUUUUAAGCUUGGAUCCAAGAUUUUAAAGUUUGGAGACCGUUUCUCCUCAACUCCAAGUUUGGGUCGCAUCUACUUUAGAUCUUCAAGAGGUAAGUGUAGAUCAUUGCCUUUUCAUAUGUUUUAAGUAAGUUUUAAAAAGGGGUUAAGGGUUAAAAAUGCAUGAAUGGCUAGAUCUAAGGUUAUAGGCUUUGAGUAGGGUUUUGAUGAAUGUAUGCUCCCUAUUGUGUUUUAUUGUUGUUUGUUAGGGUUUAGGCUAGUUUUUAUGCCCCUUAUACAUGUUGGAGUGAGUAUGUAUGUUUUGAGAAGUUGGAUGUGAGGAUUUGAGAGUUUUGGGGCUGAAAUGCAUAAGGCAGAAUCAGGUUCUGCCAUUCUGGAGAACCCAGGUUCGGCCGCCGAACCUACAUGGAAGGUAGCCUUUUGGCCGCCUAACAUGCCACCGAAAGCAUGCACUUUCGGAUCUGUAAGGGAGUUUCAGCCGCCGCAUCCGCCCUCAAAAGUCCCUGACUUCGGAUCUGUUGAGGACCUUCGGCGCCGAACCUGCCCCCGAAGGACCCCGACUUUCGGAUCUGUAGAGGACCUUUGGCCGCCGAACCUGCUGCCGAAAGUCCUCUGCCCAGCCUUCCUUUACUUGUUUUUAUAUGCAUGAUUUGUGAUGUUUUAGGAGGUUUUUGGGGAGUGUUUAGAGUCAUGUAAUAGCUAUGCUUGGUCCCUCAUUUGAGUCCACCUGUGUAGGAUCGGACCAGGGAGACCGUAGAGGCUUGCAGUGAGGUGACUGCACCAGUUUAAGCCAAGCGUCAGCCAGAGGUGAGUAGAAUUGAACUAAUCUCUUGUUUUAAAGUAAUUAAACUUUUGAACAUGUUCAUGCAUCACGAAUGCCAUGUUAUCUAAUAGGUUGUUGCAUUAGAAUUCACGAAUAUGAUGCAUUGCAUAAUUUACUGUUGUUGUGGAUGGAUAUUGAAUGACCCACUAGCCCUCGAGCAAGUUAUGUUAUGACGAAUAUGGAAGACCAGGGCUGCCCAUUCUACGCGCCCUGGCACUGUGUAAGAGAAAGACUAGGGCUGCCCAUUCUAUGCCCCUGGCAUUUAUGGAUAUGUUAUGUUAUGUUUAAGAGGAAGUCCUGAGGAGCUCCGUCG